AGUGAACGCUGGCGGUAGGCCUAACACAUGCAAGUCGAACGGCAGCACAGUAAGAGCUUGCUCUUACGGGUGGCGAGUGGCGGACGGGUGAGGAAUACAUCGGAAUCUACUUUUUCGUGGGGGAUAACGUAGGGAAACUUACGCUAAUACCGCAUACGACCUACGGGUGAAAGCAGGGGAUCUUCGGACCUUGCGCGAUUGAAUGAGCCGAUGUCGGAUUAGCUAGUUGGCGGGGUAAAGGCCCACCAAGGCGACGAUCCGUAGCUGGUCUGAGAGGAUGAUCCGCCACACUGGAACUGAGACACGGUCCAGACUCCUACGGGAGGCAGCAGUGGGGAAUAUUGGACGAUGGGCGCAAGCCUAAUCCAGCCAUACCGCGUAGGUGAAGAAGGCCUUCGGGUUGUAAAGCCCUUUUGUUGGGAAAGAAAAGCAGCAGGUUAAUACCCCGCUGUUCUGACGGUACCCAAAGAAUAAGCACCGGCUAACUUCGUG
rnacentral:rRNA from 1 species